GGACGUGAGGGUGACCUGGCGGCGACACCUUUCACCCGAUUGAUCGCCAGAGUGGAAACAGCUGUGGGCUAGGCGUGUGUCCAUCCUCUCUCACUGCUCCAACUGUGUCCCUCCCAAAGCUAAGCCUGCAAAGAGGUGGACCUUCCCUGAUAGCGGAGGACAUUUCUGCAGUCGGGUGCAGGAGUAGCCGCGCUCCCCUGUUAGAAACCUCAAAUAAGCCUUGGUUCAUUUGUGCAUCCACCCGGCUCCCGUUCAGCCGUCCCUCCACUUAACUACUACUUGCAGGGCACAGCUUUGGU
ensembl:misc_RNA 7SK 7SK RNA